rnacentral:rRNA from 1 species
UAAAACUCAAAUGAAUUGACGGGGGCCCGCACAAGCGGUGGAGCAUGUGGUUUAAUUCGAUGCAACGCGAAGAACCUUACCUGGUCUUGACAUCCACGGAAGUUUUCAGAGAUGAGAAUGUGCCUUCGGGAGCCGUGAGACAGGUGCUGCAUGGCUGUCGUCAGCUCGUGUUGUGAAAUGUUGGGUUAAGUCCCGCAACGAGCGCAACCCUUAUCCUUUGUUGCCAGCGGUCCGGCCGGGAACUCAAAGGAGACUGCCAGUGAUAAACUGGAGGAAGGUGGGGAUGACGUCAAGUCAUCAUGGCCCUUACGACCAGGGCUACACACGUGCUACAAUGGCGCAUACAAAGAGAAGCGACCUCGCGAGAGCAAGCGGACCUCAUAAAGUGCGUCGUAGUCCGGAUUGGAGUCUGCAACUCGACUCCAUGAAGUCGGAAUCGCUAGUAAUCGUGGAUCAGAAUGCCACGGUGAAUACGUUCCCGGGCCUUGUACACACCGCCCGUCACACCAUGGGAGUGGGUUGCAAAAGAAGUAGGUAGCUUAACCUUCGGGAGGGCGCUUACCACUUUGUGAUUCAUGACUGGGGUGAAGUCGUAACAAGGUAACCGUAGGGGAACCUGCGGUUGGAUCACCUCCUUACCUUAAAGAA